AACUGUGACCCGCCUGCCCUCGAGUGACCAUCCUGUCCUCAAGCUCUGGAGAAAGAGCCCCAGGCUCUCAGCCCAAGCUUCUUCCGGUCACUGAGACCUUGACCUCCUUGGAGCCUCUGUAGAGCUGCAGGGUAUCUAGGAAAAGAUGUUACGGAUGCUUCCUGUCCUCGCUUUUGCUUUGGUUUCUGGGAAGCCCAGAGUUCAGUGUGUAGUUGUCCUUGGUUGAGCGACUCCCCUGGGACUUUUGAAUUAACUUUGGCCGUUUCCCUCUUCAAUCAAGCCUUUCUUUUCCUAGUUCCAAUUUUCAUGGUAUAUUUGUAUUGAUUUAACGACUUGACUCAGCUCAAAUUAAGUUAAUUGCUUGCAUAAAUAAUAAAUUCCAUUUUAAUUGAAGGUCUUAA